rnacentral:rRNA from 1 species
UACGGGGGGGGGCAAGCGUUGUUCGGAAUUACUGGGCGUAAAGGGCUCGUAGGUGGCCAACUAAGUCAGACGUGAAAUCCCUCGGCUUAACCGGGGAACUGCGUCUGAUACUGGAUGGCUCGAGUUUGGGAGAGGGAUGCGGAAUUCCAGGUGUAGCGGUGAAAUGCGUAGAUAUCUGGAGGAACACCGGUGGCGAAGGCGGCAUCCUGGACCAACACUGACGCUGAGGAGCGAAAGCCAGGGGAGCAAACGGG